AAAACGACUCUCGGCAACGGAUAUCUCGGCUCUCGCAUCGAUGAAGAACGUAGCGAAAUGCGAUACUUGGUGUGAAUUGCAGAAUCCCGUGAACCCUCGAGUCUUUAAACCCGAGUUGCGCCCUAAUUCACUAGGCCGAGGGCACGUCAGCCUGGGUGUUAGCC
rnacentral:rRNA from 1 species